rnacentral:rRNA from 1 species
CUUCGGAGCUUUUAUUGUUAAAUAUGCUAGUCCUUUCAUGAUUAUGUGAUAGGUGGUGCAUGGCCGUUCUUAGUUCGUGGAGUGAUCUGUCUGCUUAAUUGCGUUUCACUAUAGGUCCUAUAUUCUUAAAAUGUGUGCAGUGCAUUGACCCCUUGUUUUUAACAAGCGCGUGUCUUUGUGCUCACACUUUCAUUAGGUCCUGAAAGCAACGAACGUGACCGCAACCUCUUGUUGCCUCAUU